ACCUGGCUGGCUCAGUCAGUGGAGCAUGAGACUCUUGAUCUCAAGGUUGUGGGUUCAAGCCCCAUGUUGGGUG
rnacentral:tRNA from 2 species